GAUGAACGCUAGCGGCAGGCUUAACACAUGCAAGUCGAGGGGUAGAGGUUGCUUGCAACCUUGAGACCGGCGCACGGGUGCGUAACGCGUAUGCAACCUACCUUUUACAGAGGGAUAGCCCAGAGAAAUUUGGAUUAAUACCUCAUAGUAUAUAACCUUCGCAUGUUGGUUAUAUUAAAGUUCCAACGGUAAAAGAUGGGCAUGCGUCCUAUUAGCUAGAUGGUAAGGUAACGGCUUACCAUGGCAACGAUAGGUAGGGGUCCUGAGAGGGAGAUCCCCCACACUGGUACUGAGACACGGACCAGACUCCUACGGGAGGCAGCAGUGAGGAAUAUUGGACAAUGGGCGCAAGCCUGAUCCAGCCAUGCCGCGUGCAGGAAGAAGCAUCUAUGAUGUGUAAACUGCUUUUGUACAGGAAGAAACACCCCGACGUGUCGGGACUUGACGGUACCUGCAGAAGAAGCACCGGCUAACUACGUGCCAGCCGCCGCAGUAAAAC
rnacentral:rRNA from 1 species